rnacentral:rRNA from 1 species
GACGAACGCUGGCGGCGUGCUUAACACAUGCAAGUCGAACGGAAAGGCCCUGCUUGCAGGGUACUCGAGUGGCGAACGGGUGAGUAACACGUGGGUGAUCUGCCCUGCACUUCGGGACAAGCCUGGGAAACUGGGUCUAAUACCGGAUAGGAGCCAUUUUUAGUGUGAGGGUUGGAAAGUUUUUUCGGUGUAGGAUGAGCUCGCGGCCUAUCAGCUUGUUGGUGGGGUAAUGGCCUACCAAGGCGGCGACGGGUAGCCGGCCUGAGAGGGUGGACGGCCACAUUGGGACUGAGAUACGGCCCAGACUCCUACGGGAGGCAGCAGUGGGGAAUAUUGCACAAUGGGCGCAAGCCUGAUGCAGCGACGCCGCGUGGGGGAUGACGGCCUUCGGGUUGUAAACUCCUUUCGCUAGGGACGAAGCUUUUUGUGACGGUACCUAGAGAAGAAGCACCGGCUAACUACGUG